UUUCCAGAGAUGGAUUGGUGCCUUCGGGAACUGUGAGACAGGUGCUGCAUGGCUGUCGUCAGCUCGUGUUGUGAAAUGUUGGGUUAAGUCCCGCAACGAGCGCAACCCUUAUCCUUUGUUGCCAGCGAUUAGGUCGGGAACUCAAAGGAGACUGCCAGUGAUAAACUGGAGGAAGGUGGGGAUGACGUCAAGUCAUCAUGGCCCUUACGACCAGGGCUACACACGUGCUACAAUGGCGCAUACAAAGAGAAGCGACCUCGCGAGAGCAAGCGGACCUCAUAAAGUGCGUCGUAGUCCGGAUUGGAGUCUGCAACUCGACUCCAUGAAGUCGGAAUCGCUAGUAAUCGUGGAUCAGAAUGCCACGGUGAAUACGUUCCCGGGCCUUGUACACACCGCCCGUCACACCAUGGGAGUGGGUUGCAAAAGAAGUAGGUAGCUUAACCUUCGGGAGGGCGCUUACCACUUUGUGAUUCAUGACUGGGGUGAAGUCGUAACAAGGUAACCGUAGGGG
rnacentral:rRNA from 1 species